rnacentral:rRNA from 1 species
GACGAACGCUGGCGGCGUGCUUAACACAUGCGAGUCGAACGGAAAGGCCCUGCUUUUGUGGGGUGCUCGAGUGGCGAACGGGCGAGUAACACGUGAGUAACCUGCCCUUGACUUUGGGAUAACUUCAGGAAACUGGGGCUAAUACCGGAUAGGAGCUCCUGCUGCAUGGUGGGGGUUGGAAAGUUUCGGCGGUUGGGGAUGGACUCGCGGCUUAUCAGCUUGUUGGUGGGGUAGUGGCUUACCAAGGCUUUGACGGGUAGCCGGCCUGAGAGGGUGACCGGCCACAUUGGGACUGAGAUACGGCCCAGACUCCUACGGGAUGCAGCAGUGGGGAAUAUUGCACAAUGGGCGGAAGCCUGAUGCAGCAACGCCGCGUGCGGGAUGACGGCCUUCGGGUUGUAAACCGCUUUCGCCUGUGACGAAGCGUGAGUGACGGUAAUGGGUAAAGAAGCACCGGCUAACUACGUG